AAUAUCAAAUAAAGUCCCGAGUAUAUAUUUACCCCAUGGGUACAUUUGUGUAUAUAUGCAAUUCUCGUCGUAUAAAUGAAGGAUAUGUAAUUUACUCAACAAAAUUAGUUUUUUUUAUUUACAAUUCGGAUAUAUUAAAUGAUAUUCACGCUUUAUAGCACAAACGUUAUAUGUUUUAGAAUUUCAUUUAUUCUAAAUAUUUCGCGUCAUCACAGACAAACUAUAUAAAGCAGUUCAUAUUGGAUGACAAAUAAAAUAUGACUCAUUUGGAAAACUAAACACAAAAAAUCAAGGGUGACAAUGAUGACAUAUCUGCACAAAAUGAUAGAGAUGUAUGUACUGUAACUAGGAAACGGAACAGAAGAUAUCAGUGUAAACAUCAUCAUUCCAAUUGACGAGUCAAACAGAAAACAUUCCUUUGCGUCCUAAAGCACACGUCAAUCUGAUAGUGCAAACAGUGCGAGGAUAUUCAACAGUGCACAAUGCUUUUUUUACGGAACAUAUUAGUUUUCGGCGGUUUGUCCCUGACAAUGAAGCUAUCAACAGUAAAGUCGGAAUCAACUUCGCCACAAACAUCAGUAAAACAAACUGUAGUUUCGCAUGCCACAAUGGUUACAUCAAAUGUAUCUUCGCCAUCCACAAGAGUAACACAUGAAGUAGCUUUGCCUAACACAACGAUUACUCCAAAAAUAAAGGUCUCAAUUGCAACAGUCACACAAGCAGUACCUUUGACAAACACAACCGUUACAACAGCAUUGACGACGCCGGUUGAAACAGCGAAACCGGUAGUUACUUCGCUUGCCACAACGGUAACUCCAAGAAUAACGUCUUCAAUUGCAACAGUAACACAAACAGUACCUUUGACAAACACAACCGUUACCACAACAGUAACGACGCCUAUGGAAUCGGUAGGAACUUCGACAAACACAACGGUCACUCCAAAAAGAACAACAACCAUGCAUAACCUUCAUAGCAGAUCAGGAGCAAAGGAAAUCGGACUGACGCUAAUGGGAGCUUGUAUGUGUCUGAUACGUUUAAGGAUGGGACUAUAUGAAACCUUAGCGUGUCUUCUGCAGUGAUAGACGACAAGUGUUCCAAAAGGAUCGAUUAUCAAGGCAUAUAUAAAUAUAGUACUGUCUGAAGUUUAAUGUCUAAUUAAAGAUUUCUCAUCAAAUCGAUGCAGAUUAGUUUGAUGCUUAUUUUUCAUCAUAAAAUAUUGCAAGUUUUGAAGUAACGUAAAUUACGGUUUAGUGAGCCAUGAAACAUCUUUUUUAGCUGAAAAACUAUUGGUGUGUUUAAUUACGUGAUAAAUUUUUGAAUUAAAACCGUUUUCUAGACCUUUUUUCAAUAAAACGGAAGUAUUUUACAAGAGAAAGCUUUGUUCGAAAGAUGAAAAUUAUUUGGUAACAAACAUUAAAAUGCUGUAGUUUCCGAACAUCCCAACGGCCAAGGCGUAAACAUGUCUUAAAAUGUUUGUAAGAUGAUACACUCAUAAAAUCAUGGUAUAAAAAAUUCCCGUAGUGGGGGGGAGACCUUUAAUCCCUCAUAGUCUAUACGUUAAUGCUAAUAGUGUUCCUGUUAUAGAAAGAAAGAAAUGGUAUAAAAAAUAAUUUCUGACUUAAAAGCGUACUAAAUUCUAAAAUAGCACAUCAUCAAGGUAAACAACCAACAUUAAGGCUCCAUUCAGAAUAUAUUUUUAUUCAUUCUUCAAUGUAGUAAUAAAUGCAUAAGUUACUGUUUAGUAAAUAAUCAGGAGGAUUUUCCGGAAAUAGCAAAUUAAAUGUAACAGUGACAGCAGGUGCAGUAGAACUAGUUUUUUUUUCUAUUUGAAGCAUUAUUAGUCAUUAUAAUUAUUAUUAUCAUUAUUAUUAUUAUUAUUAUUAUUAUUAUUAUUAUUAUUAUUAUUUUUAUUAUUAUUAUUAUUAUUAUUAUUAGUAUUAUUAUAAGUUUUAUUAUUAUUAUUACUACUACUAUUCUUCUUCUUCUUCUUCUUCUUCUUCUUCUUCUUCUUCUUCUUCUUCUUCUUCUUCUUCUUCUUCUUCUUCUCCUUCUUCUUAUUAUGAUUAUUAUUAUUAUCAUUAUUUUUAUUAUAUCAUUAUCAUCAUUAUAAUUAUUAUUAUUAUUAUUAUCAUUAUUAUUAUUAUUAUUAUUAUUAUUAUUAUUAUUAUUAUAUUAUUAUUAUUAUUAUUAUUAUUAUUAUUAUUAUUUGCUGCAUUCGUUUUUUUUCAUUUAUUGCUUUAAUAACAAUAAAAAACCUUUUUUGAAUGAAACCAAAGUGUAUUUAUUAUAAAUUUGU